GGGGGGGGGGGGGGGGGGGGGGGGGGGGGGGGGGGGGGGGGGGGGGGGGGGGGGGGGGACUGGUUCUUACCGGUUUCCCAGACAUCCGGCUGCAGGUGCGGGCCGAGUACUGCGAGCACGAGCGCUGUGCUCGUACUGGUCCAUACUGGCCCAUACUGUGUUGUACUGGUCCGUACUGGUCCAUACUGUGUUAUACUGGUCUAUACUGGUCCAUACUGGUCCGUACUGUGUUAUACUGGUCUAUACUGGUCCGUACCGGUUUUGACUGGUUCUUACCGGUUUCCCAGACAUCCGGCUGCGGGUGCGCGCCGAGUACUGCGAGCACGAGCGCUGUGCUUGUACUGGGUUAUACUGGUCCAUACUGGCGCAUACUGUGUUAUACUGGUCCGUACUGGUCAGUACUGGUUUUAACUGGUUCUUACAGGUUUCCCAGACAUCCGGCUGCGGGUGCGGGCCGAGUACUGCGAGCACGAGCGCUGUGCUGGGGGGGGGGGGGGGGGGGGGGGGGGGGGGGGGGGGGGGGGGGGGGGGGGGGGGGGGGGGGGGGGGGGGGGGGGGGGGGGGGGGGGGGGGGGGGGGGGGGGGGGGGGGGGGGGGGGGGGUCCAUACUGGUCCAUACUGGUCCGUACUGGUUUUGACUGGUUCUUCCCGGUUUCCCAGACAUCUGGCUGCGGGUGCGGGCUGAGUACUGCGAGCACGAGCGCUGUGCUCACACUGGGUGAUACUGAUACAUACUAGUCCAUACUGGUCCAUACUGGUCCGUACUGGUCCGUACUGUGUUAUACUGGUCCAUACUGGUCCAUACUGGUCCGUACUGUGUUAUACUGGUCUAUACUGGUCCGUACCGGUUUUGACUGGUUCUUACCGGUUUCCCAGACAUCCGGCUGCGGGUGCGCGCCGAGUACUGCGAGCACGAGCGCUGUGCUUGUACUGGGUUAUACUGGUCCAUACUGGCGCAUACUGUGUUAUACUGGUCCGUACUGGUCAGUACUGGUUUUAACUGGUUCUUACAGGUUUCCCAGACAUCCGGCUGCGGGUGCGGGCCGAGUACUGCGAGCACGAGCGCUGUGCUCACACUGGGUUACAGUGAUACAUACCAGUCCAUACUGGUCCAUACUGUAUUAUACUGGUCUAUACUGGUCCAUACUGGUCCAUACUGGUCCGUACUGGUUUUGACUGGUUCUUCCCGGUUUCCCAGACAUCCGGCUGCGGGUGCGGGCCGAGUACUGCGAGCACGAGCGGGCGCUGCGCCGGCAGGUGUGGUCCAGCCGGCCGCGGGGGCCGGGCCGGGCGCUGGACGUCUUCGGGCAGGCCAGCGGCGUGCUGAAGGCGCGGGACCUGGGCUCCAUCCUGUGCGACAUCAAGUUCUCGGAGCUGUCGUACCUGGAGGCGUUUUGGGGGGAUUACCUGAGCGGGGCGCUGCUGGAGGCGCUCAAGGGCGUCUUCCUGACGGAGGGGCUGCGGCGCGCCGUGGGCCGCGAGGAGGUGCGGCUGCUGGUCAGCGUGGACCAGGAC
rnacentral:lncRNA from 12 species